rnacentral:rRNA from 1 species
UACGUAGGGUGCGAGCGUUAAUCGGAAUUACUGGGCGUAAAGCGUGCGCAGGCGGUUCGUUAAGUUCGUUCUGAAAGCCCCGGGCUCAACCUGGGAACUGCAAUGGAAACUGGCGGGCUUGAGUGUGGCAGAGGGGGGUGGAAUUCCUGGUGUAGCGGUGAAAUGCGCAGAUAUCAGGAAGAACACCCGUGGCGAAGGCGGUUCUCUGGGACGGUACUGACGCUGAGACGCGAAAGCGUGGGGAGCGAACAGG